UCAAGCUACUAAGGGCGCAUGGCGGAUGCCUUGGCGCUAGGAGCCGAUGAAGGGCGUGGCAAGCGACGAUAUGCCUCGGGUAGCCGCAAGCAGGCUUUGAUCCGGGGAUGCCCGAAUGGGGAAACCCACUGGGGAUAAUGCCCCAGUAUCCUCAUCUGAAGUAAGUAGGGUGAGGAGGGGAACCGCGGGAACUGAAACAUCUAAGUACCGCGAGGAAAAGAAAGAAAUCUCGAUUCCCUGAGUAGCGGCGAGCGAAACGGGAAGAGCCCAAACCGGUAGCGUGUAAUAGUCUGCAGGCGUUGCGUUACCGGGGUUGUAGGAGCCGUUCGUAGGGUAUCUGCAGGUACUCUAAAUACGGGAUAAGUUUUAGCUGAAGCGGUCUGGAAAGGCCCACCACAGACGGUGACAGUCCGGUAAGCGAAAAGGCUUAUGCUGUAUUAGGAUGGCAUCCUGAGUACCACGGGGCACGUGAAACCCUGUGGGAAACCGGGAGGACCACCUCCCAAGGCUAAAUACUACCUAGCGACCGAUAGUGAACUAGUACCGUGAGGGAAAGGUGAAAAGAACCCCGGGAGGGGAGUGAAAUAGAACCUGAAACCAUGUGCCUACAAAAAGUGGGAGGACCAUCAGGUGCAUUUAGCAUGACUGGGUCUGACCGCGUACUUUUUGCAGAACGGACCGGCGAGUUACAGUAUGUGGCGAGGUUAAGCAGUAGAUGCGGAGCCGUAGCGAAAGCGAGUCUGAAUAGGGCGUGGGCCUUUGGCCUUAAAGUCGCAUGCUGUAGACCCGAAACCGGGUGAGCUACCCAUGGCCAGGGUGAAGCGAGGCUAAUCCCUCGUGGAGGCCCGAACCACGUUGACGUUGAAAAGUCAUGGGAUGAGCUGUGGGUAGGGGUGAAAAGCCAAUCGAACCCGGAGAUAGCUGGUUCUCUCCGAAAUAGCUUUAGGGCUAGCCUCGGGAGUUUACUUAUGGAGGUAGAGCACUGAUCGGGCUAGGGGGCCUGAAAGCUUACCGAACCCUUUCAAACUCCGAAUGCCAUAAGUUAAGAUCCCGGGAGUCAGACUGCGUGCACUAAGGUUCGUAGUCGAGAGGGAAAUAGCCCAGACCCAAAGUUAAGGUCCCAAAGUAUAGGCUAAGUGGGAAAGGAUGUGGGGUUGCCCAGACAGCCAGGAUGUUGGCUUAGAAGCAGCCAUUCAUUUAAAGAGUGCGUAAUAGCUCACUGGUCAAGUGAUUCUGCGCCGAAAAUUCAACGGGGCUAAGCUCGUCACCGAAGCUUCGGAAGAAAGUUUUAUCCACUCUUACCUUUAAAAGUCCGGUGAGGGAGGAAGUUGGAUUUGCUAAAACCCAACCUUUGGUUUGGUCAAAUCAGGAGGGUUUUAGCCAAAUUCCCAGUUAAGCCGUCACCUGAGUUUUAAAGGUAAGGAUAAAACUUUCUUGGUAGGGGAGCGUUCCAACAGCGCCGAAGGCAGCCUGUAAGGGCUGCUGGAGCGGUUGGAAGUGAGAAUGCCGGUAUGAGUAGCGAAAAGAAGGGUGAGAAUCCCUUCCGCCGAAAGCCUAAGGAUUCCUGAGGAAGGCUCGUCCGCUCAGGGUAAGUCGGGACCUAAGGCGAGGCCGAAAGGCGUAGUCGAUGGACAACAGGUUGAAAUUCCUGUACCACCGAGCAUCGCUUGAGCGAAGUGGUGACGCAGAAGGGUAGGUCAUCACCCGGAUGGAUGUGGGUGUCCAAGCGUGUAGAGGGCAAGGUAGGCAAAUCCGCCUUGCAAAACCUUGAGGCGUGAUGGGGAGGCGAAAUUUAGUAGCCGAACUGACUGAUCCCAUGCUGCCGAGAAAAGCCGCUAGCGAGAUGCAAGGUGCCCGUACCGCAAACCGACACAGGUAGGCGAGGAGAGAAUCCUAAGGCGCGCGAGAGAACCCCUGUUAAGGAACUCGGCAAAAUGACUCCGUAACUUCGGGAGAAGGAGUGCCUAAGUAGUGUGAAGUUGAACAGAUGGAGCACGAACAGGCCGCAGAGAAAUGGCCCAAGCGACUGUUUAUCAAAAACACAGGUCUCUGCUAAGUCGAAAGACGAAGUAUAGGGGCUGACGCCUGCCCAGUGCCGGAAGGUUAAGGGGAAGGGUUAGCGCAAGCGAAGCUCCGAACCGAAGCCCCGGUGAACGGCGGCCGUAACUAUAACGGUCCUAAGGUAGCGAAAUUCCUUGUCGGGUAAGUUCCGACCCGCACGAAUGGCGUAACGACUUGGGCGCUGUCUCAACGAGAGGCUCGGCGAAAUUAUAAAUACCCGUGAAGAUGCGGGUUACCCGCGACAAGACGGAAAGACCCCGUGGAGCUUUACUGUAGCCUGAGAUUGGAUUUUGGUGCGUUAUGUACAGGAUAGGUGGGAGGCUUGGAAGGGGCGACGCCAGUUGCCCUGGAGCCGACCUUGGGAUACCACCCUUAGCGUGCUGGAGUUCUAACCCUUAUCCGUGAUCCGGGUGGGGGACAUUCUCUGGUGGGCAGUUUGACUGGGGCGGUCGCCUCCCAAAAGGUAACGGAGGCGCCCAAAGGUUACCUCAGCACGGUUGGAAAUCGUGCAACGAGUGUAAAGGCAUAAGGUAGCCUGACUGCGAGACAGACAGGUCGAGCAGGUACGAAAGUAGGGCUUAGUGAUCCGGCGGUAUGAGAGUGGAAUUGCCGUCGCUCAACGGAUAAAAGCUACCCUGGGGAUAACAGGCUUAUCUCCCCCAAGAGUUCACAUCGACGGGGAGGUUUGGCACCUCGAUGUCGGCUCGUCGCAUCCUGGAGCUGAAGCAGGUUCCAAGGGUUGGGCUGUUCGCCCAUUAAAGCGGCACGCGAGCUGGGUUCAGAACGUCGUGAGACAGUUCGGUCCCUAUCUGUCGUGGGCGCAGGAGAUUUGAGGGGAGCCGUCCCUAGUACGAGAGGACCGGGAUGGAUAUACCGAUGGUGUACCAGUUAUUCCGCCAGGAGUACAGCUGGGAAGCUAAGUAUAGAAGGGAUAAGCGCUGAAAGCAUCUAAGCGCCAAGCCCCCCCCAAGAUGAGAUCUCCCACGGAGUAGUCCGGUAAGACCCCAGAGAGAUUAUCUGGUAGAUAGGCCGGCGGUGUAAGGAUAGUGAUAUCUUCAGCUAGCCGGUACUAAUAGGUCGAGGGCUUGACCUU
rnacentral:rRNA from 1 species